rnacentral:rRNA from 1 species
UACGGAGGGUGCAAGCGUUAUCCGGAUUCACUGGGUUUAAAGGGUGCGUAGGUGGGUCUGUAAGUCAGUGGUGAAAUCUCCAAGCUUAACUUGGAAACUGCCAUUGAUACUAUCUGUCUUGAAUAUCGUGGAGGUAAGCGGAAUAUGUCAUGUAGCGGUGAAAUGCUUAGAUAUGACAUAGAACACCAAUUGCGAAGGCAGCUUACUACCCGAAUAUUGACACUGAGGCACGAAAGCGUGGGGAUCAAACAGG